UGAAUACGAGAUGCUACGGCGUCGAAGCAGUGUAUGUCAGACUUCCAAGAAAAGCUCGCAAUGUCAUAAAUAAAGAAUGCCUGUACCAUAACCGACACAGGUGGGUAGGUAGAGUAUACUAAGGGGCGCGAGAUAACUCUCUCUAAGGAACUCGGCAAAAUAACUCCGUAACUUCGGGAGAAGGAGUGCCUUCUUUAAGAAGGUUGCAAUAACAAGAUCCAAGCAACUGUUUAUCAAAAACACAGGUCUCCGCUAAGUCGUAAGGCGAUGUAUGGGGGCUGACGCCUGCCCAGUGCCAGAAGGUUAAAGAAGCUGGUUAGCAAUAGCGAAGCUGGUGACUGAAGCCCUGGUGAACGGCGGCCGUAACUAUAACGGUCCUAAGGUAGCGAAAUUCCUUGUCGGGUAAGUUCCGACCCGCACGAAAGGCGUAAUGAUUUGGAUACUGUCUCGGAGAGGGACUCGGUGAAAUAGACUUGUCUGUGAAGAUGCGGACUACCUGCACCAGGACAGAAAGACCCUAUGAAGCUUUACUGUAACCUGAAAUUGAAAUUGGACUUUAUUUGCGCAGUAUAGGUGGGAGGCGUUGAAAGUAAUCUUGCGGGAUUAGUGGAACCAUCAGUGAGAUACCACUCCUAUAAUGUUAGAUUUCUAACUUUGGAUCAUGAUCUGGUCAAAGAACAGUUUCAGGCGGGCAGUUUGACUGGGGCGGUCGCCUCCCAAAUGGUAACGGAGGCGUACAAAGGUUUCCUCUGAACGGGUAGAAAUCGUAUCUAGAGUGUAAAGGCAUAAGGAUGCUUGACUGUGAGACCUACAAGUCGAGCAGGGACGAAAGUCGGUCUUAGUGAUCUGACGGUGCUGAGUGGAAAGGCCGUCACUCAACGGAUAAAAGUUACUCUAGGAUAACAGGCUGAUCUCCCCCAAGAGUUCACAUCGACGGGGAGGUUUGGCACCUCGAUGUCGGCUCAUCGCAUCCUGGGGCGGUAGUACGUCCCAAGGGUUGGGCUGUUCGCCCAUGAAAGCGGUACGCGAGCUGGGUUCAGAACGUCGUGAGACAGUUCGGUCCAUAUCCGGUGUAGGCGUUAGAAUAUUGAGAGGAGCCUUCUCUAGUACGAGAGGACCGAGAAGGACAUACCUCUGGUGUACCAGUUAUCGUGCCAACGGUAAACGCUGGGUAGCUAUGUAUGGAGAGGAUAACCGCUGAAAGCAUCUAAGUGGGAAGCCCACCUCAAGAUGAGUACUCUCAC
rnacentral:rRNA from 1 species